rnacentral:rRNA from 1 species
AUCCUGGCUCAGGAUGAACGCUAGCGACAGGCCUAACACAUGCAAGUCGAGGGGCAGCGGGGAUGAAGCUUGCUUCAUCUGCCGGCGACCGGCGCACGGGUGAGUAACACGUAUGCAACCUGCCCGCCACAGGGGGNUAAACGCUGGAAACGGCGCCUAAUACCCCCAUACUAUCGCUAUGCUGCAUGGCAUGGCGAUGAAAACUCCGGUGGUGGCGGAUGGGCAUGCGGCGCAUUAGCUGGUUGGGGGGGUAACGGCCCACCAAGGCGACGAUGCGUAGGGGUUCUGAGAGGAAGGUCCCCCCACACUGGUACUGAGACACGGACCAGACUCCUACGGGAGGCAGCAGUGAGGAAUAUUGGUCAAUGGGCGGGAGCCUGAACCAGCCAAGUCGCGUGAGGGAAGACGGCCCUACGGGUUGUAAACCUCUUUAGUCGGGGAGCAAAAAGGACCACGCGUGGUCCAUUGAGCGUACCCGAAGAAUAAGCAUCGGCUAACUCCGUG